rnacentral:rRNA from 1 species
GAUGAACGCUAGCGACAGGCCUAACACAUGCAAGUCGAGGGGCAGCAUUAUUCUAGCUUGCUAGAAUAGAUGGCGACCGGCGCACGGGUGAGUAACGCGUAUGCAACCUACCUCUUACAGGGGAAUAGCCCGAAGAAAUUCGGAUUAAUGCCCCAUGGUUCUGUUUUACUGCAUGGUAAAACAGAUAAAGUUCCGGCGGUAAGAGAUGGGCAUGCGUUCCAUUAGUUAGUUGGUAGGGUAACGGCCUACCAAGGCAGCGAUGGAUAGGGGUUCUGAGAGGAUAGUCCCCCACACUGGUACUGAGACACGGACCAG